GCCUUUAUAGCUUAGUGGUAGAGUGUGAUACUGUUAAUAUCGUUGCAAGUGUUCGAUUCACUUUAAAGGCU
rnacentral:tRNA from 1 species